rnacentral:rRNA from 1 species
UACGUAGGGCGCAAGCGUUAUCCGGAAUUAUUGGGCGUAAAGAGCUCGUAGGCGGUUUGUCGCGUCUGCCGUGAAAGUCCGGGGCUCAACUCCGGAUCUGCGGUGGGUACGGGCAGACUAGAGUGAUGUAGGGGAGACUGGAAUUCCUGGUGUAGCGGUGAAAUGCGCAGAUAUCGGGAGGAACACCGGUGGCGAAGGCGGUUCUCUGGGCCUUACCUGACGCUGAGGAGCGAAAGCGUAGGGAGCGAACAGG